rnacentral:rRNA from 1 species
CGCCUCUUGUAGAACUUAACAAAUAAGAGGUCCCGCCUGCCCUGUGACUAUUAGUUUAACGGCCGCGGUAUUUUGACCGUGCGAAGGUAGCGCAAUCACUUGUCUUUUAAAUGAAGACCUGUAUGAAUGGCAUAACGAGGGCUUAACUGUCUCCUCUUUCUAGUCAAUGAAAUUGAUCUUCCCGUGCAGAAGCGGGAAUGGUAACAUAAGACGAGAAGACCCUAUGAAGCUUUAGACACCAAGACAGAUCAUGCUAAACACCCCCCAAUAAAGGACUAAACCAAAUGAACCCUGUCCUAAUGUCUUUGGUUGGGGCGACCGCGGGGAAACAAAAAACCCCCACGUGGAAUGGGAGCACCCCUCCUACAACUAUGAGCCCCAGCUCUAGUUAACAGAACUUCUGACCAGUAAGAUCCGGCAGUGCCGAUCAACGAACCGAGUUACUCUAGGGAUAACAGCGCAAUCCUCUUUUAGAGCCCAUAUCGACAAGGGGGUUUACGACCUCGAUGUUGGAUCAGGACAUCCUAAUGGUGCAGCCGCUAUUAAGGGUUCGUUUGUUCAACGAUUAAAGUCCU